UAAAUAGUCAGGCCGGCUUUUGCUGGUCGCAGACUUCUUAGAGGGACUGUCAGCGUCUAGCUGACGGAAGUUUGAGGCAAUAACAGGUCUGUGAUGCCCUUAGAUGUUCUGGGCUGCACG
rnacentral:rRNA from 1 species